rnacentral:rRNA from 1 species
GACGAAGGGGGCUAGCGUUGCUCGGAAUCACUGGGCGUAAAGCGUGCGUAGACGGCUAUCUAAGUCGGGUGUGAAAGCCCCGGGCUCAACCUGGGAAUUGCAUUCGAGACUGAAUAGCUAGGGUGCGGUAGAGGGAAGCGGAAUUUCCGGUGUAGCGGUGAAAUGCGUAGAUAUCGGAAGGAACAUCAGUGGCGAAAGCGGCUUCCUGGACCAGCACCGACGUUCAGGCACGAAAGCGUGGGGAGCAAACAGG